UUCCAGACUCCUACGGGAGGCAGCAGUAGGGAAUCUUCGGCAAUGGACGGAAGUCUGACCGAGCAACGCCGCGUGAGUGAAGAAGGUUUUCGGAUCGUAAAACUCUGUUGGUAGAGAAGAACGUUGGUGAGAGUGGAAAGCUCAUCAAGUGACGGUAACUACCCAGAAAGGGACGGCUAACUACGUGCCAGCAGCCGCGGUAAUACGUAGGUCCCGAGCGUUGUCCGGAUUUAUUGGGCGUAAAGCGAGCGCAGGUGGUUUAUUAAGUCUGGUGUAAAAGGCAGUGGCUCAACCAUUGUAUGCAUUGGAAACUGGUAGACUUGAGUGCAGGAGAGGAGAGUGGAAUUCCAUGUGUAGCGGGGAAAUGCGUAGAUAUAUGGAGGAACACCGGUGGCGAAAGCGGCUCUCUGGCCUGUAACUGACACUGAGGCUCGAAAGCGUGGGGAGCAAACAGGAUUAGAUACCCUGGUAGUCCACGCCGUAAACGAUGAGUGCUAGAUGUAGGGAGCUAUAAGUUCUCUGUAUCGCAGCUAACGCAAUAAGCACUCCGCCUGGGGAGUACGACCGCAAGGUUGAAACUCAAAGGAAUUGACGGGGGCCCGCACAAG
rnacentral:rRNA from 1 species